rnacentral:rRNA from 1 species
ACUCCACGGGAGGCAGCAGUGGGGAAUUUUGGACAAUGGGCGCAAGCCUGAUCCAGCCAUGCCGCGUGAGUGAAGAAGGCCUUCGGGUUGUAAAGCUCUUUCAGCCGGGAAGAAAACGCAUGGGUUAAUACCCUGUGUGGAUGACGGUACCGGAAUAAGAAGCACCGGCUAACUACGUGCCAGCAGCCGCGGUAAUACGUAGGGUGCGAGCGUUAAUCGGAAUUACUGGGCGUAAAGCGUGCGCAGGCGGUUUUGUAAGACAGGCGUGAAAUCCCCGGGCUCAACCUGGGAACUGCGUUUGUGACUGCAAGGCUAGAGUAUGGCAGAGGGGGGUGGAAUUCCACGUGUAGCAGUGAAAUGCGUAGAGAUGUGGAGGAACACCGAUGGCGAAGGCAGCCCCCUGGGCCAAUACUGACGCUCAUGCACGAAAGCGUGGGUAGCAAACAGGAUUAGAUACCCUGGUAGUCCACGCCCUAAACGAUGUCAACUAGGUGUUGGGUGGGUAAAACCAUUUAGUACCGGAGCUAACGCGUGAAGUUGACCGCCUGGGGAGUACGGCCGCAAGGUUAAAACUCAAAUGAAUUGACGGA